UACGUAGGGUGCGAGCGUUAAUCGGAAUUACUGGGCGUAAAGCGUGCGCAGGCGGUUCGUUAUGUCCGAUGUGAAAGCCCCGAGCUCAACUUGGGAAUGGCAUUGGAAACUGGCGGGCUGGAGUGUGGCAGAGGGGGGUGGAAUUCCACGUGUAGCAGUGAAAUGCGUAGAGAUGUGGGGGAACACCGAUGGCGAAGGCAGCCCCCUGGGCCAACACUGACGCUCAGGCACGAAAGCGUGGGGAGCAAACAGG
rnacentral:rRNA from 1 species